rnacentral:rRNA from 1 species
GACGAACGCUGGCGGCGUGCUUAACACAUGCAAGUCGAACGGUAAGGCCUUCGGGUACACGAGUGGCGAACGGGUGAGUAACACGUGGGUGAUCUGCCCCCUACUCUGGGAUAAGCCUGGGAAACUGGGUCUAAUACCGGAUAUGACCUCCUGCUUCAUGGUGGGUGGUGGAAAGUUUUUCGGUAGGGGAUGAGCCCGCGGCCUAUCAGCUUGUUGGUGGGGUAAUGGCCUACCAAGGCGACGACGGGUAGCCGGCCUGAGAGGGCGACCGGCCACACUGGGACUGAGACACGGCCCAGACUCCUACGGGAGGCAGCAGUGGGGAAUAUUGCACAAUGGGCGAAAGCCUGAUGCAGCGACGCCGCGUGGGGGAUGACGGCCUUCGGGUUGUAAACCCCUUUCAGUCGGGACGAAGCGUGAGUGACGGUACCGAUAGAAGAAGCACCGGCCAACUACGUGCCAGCCGCCGCGGUAACAC